rnacentral:rRNA from 1 species
UGAGGAAGAUAAUGACGGUACUCAACAAGGAAGUGACGGCUAACUACGUGCCAGCAGCCGCGGUAAAACGUAGGUCACAAGCGUUGUCCGGAAUUACUGGGUGUAAAGGGAGCGCAGGCGGGAGAACAAGUUGGAAGUGAAAUCCAUGGGCUCAACCCAUGAACUGCUUUCAAAACUGUUUUUCUUGAGUAGUGCAGAGGUAGGCGGAAUUCCCGGUGUAGCGGUGGAAUGCGUAGAUAUCGGGAGGAACACCAGUGGCGAAGGCGGCCUACUGGGCACCAACUGACGCUGAGGCUCGAAAGUGUGGGUAGCAAACAGGAUUAGAUACCCUGGUAGUCCACACCGUAAACGAUGAUUACUAGGUGUUGGAGGAUUGACCCCUUCAGUGCCGCAGUUAACACAAUAAGUAAUCCACCUGGGGAGUACGACCGCAAGGUUGAAACUCAAAGGAAUUGACGGGGGCCCGCACAAGCAGUGGAGUAUGUGGUUUAAUUCGACGCAACGCGAAGAACCUUACCAAGUCUUGACAUCCCUUGACGAUGCUGGAAACAGUAUUUCUCUUCGGAGCAAGGAGACAGGUGGUGCAUGGUUGUCGUCAGCUCGUGUCGUGAGAUGUUGGGUUAAGUCCCGCAACGAGCGCAACCCUUAUGGUCAGUUACUACGCAAGAGGACUCUGGCCGGACUGC